rnacentral:rRNA from 1 species
AGUGAACGCUGGCGGUAGGCCUAACACAUGCAAGUCGAACGGCGGCACAGUAAGAGCUUGCUCUUACGGGUGGCGAGUGGCGGACGGGUGAGGAAUACAUCGGAAUCUACUUUUUCGUGGGGGAUAACGUAGGGAAACUUACGCUAAUACCGCAUACGACCUACGGGUGAAAGCAGGGGAUCUUCGGACCUUGCGCGAUUGAAUGAGCCGAUGUCGGAUUAGCUAGUUGGCGGGGUAAAGGCCCACCAAGGCGACGAUCCGUAGCUGGUCUGAGAGGAUGAUCAGCCACACUGGAACUGAGACACGGUCCAGACUCCUACGGGAGGCAGCAGUGGGGAAUAUUGGACAAUGGGCGCAAGCCUGAUCCAGCCAUACCGCGUGGGUGAAGAAGGCCUUCGGGUUGUAAAGCCCUUUUGUUGGGAAAGAAAAGCGGCAGGUUAAUACCCCGCUGUUCUGACGGUACCCAAAGAAUAAGCACCGGCUAACUUCGUG